rnacentral:rRNA from 1 species
AGCGAACGCUGGCGGCAGGCCUAACACAUGCAAGUCGAACGAAGUGUUCGGACUUAGUGGCGGACGUGUGAGUAACACGUGGGAAAGUCCCUUAAGGUCCGGACAAACAUAGGAAGACUCGUGCUAAUACCGAAUGCGCCCUUCGGUGGAAGGAUUUAUCGCGAUUAGAGCGGCACGCCUCUGAUAAGCUAGUUGGGGCGGUAAAGGCUCACAAAGGCUACGAUCAGUUGCCGGUCAGAGAGGAUGACCAGCCACAUAGGGACUGAGCAACGGCCAAGACUCCUACGGGAGGGAGCAGUGGGGAAUCUUGCGAAAUGGGGGAAAGCCUGACGCAGCCAUGGCGCGUGGAUGAUGAAGGUCUUAGGAUUGUAAAAUCCUUUCACCGGUGAAGAUAAUGACUGUAGCCGGAGAAGAAGCCCCGGCUAACUUCGUGCCAGCAGCCGCAGUAACAC